rnacentral:lncRNA from 1 species
UACCCACCACCUACGUGCAUCAUACACUGCUGUGUACGCAUACCUACACACAUGCAUCACACACUGCUGUGUACCCACACACAUACAUCACACACUGCUGUGCAUUCACAGCCACACACAUGCAUCACACACUGCUGAGCACCCACACACAUGCAUCACACACUGCUGUGCAUUUAUACACACACACAUACAUCACACACUGCUGUGCAUUCACAGCCACACACAUGCAUCACACACUGCUGAGCAUUCACAGCCACACACAUACAUCACACACUGCUGUGCACCCACACCCACACACAUGCAUCACACACUGCUGAGCAUUCACAGCCACACACAUACAUCACACACUGCUGAGCAUUCACACCCACACACAUGCAUCACACACUGCUGAGCAUUCACAGCCACACACAUACAUCACACACUGCUGUGCAUUCACAGCCACACACAUGCAUC